rnacentral:rRNA from 1 species
GAUGAACGCUGGCGGCGUGCCUAAUACAUGCAAGUCGAGCGAACAGAUGAGGAGCUUGCUCCUCUGACGUUAGCGGCGGACGGGUGAGUAACACGUGGAUAACCUACCUAUAAUACUGGGAUAACUUCGGGAAACCGGAGCUAAUACCGGAUAAUAUAUUGAACCGCAUGGUUCAAUAGUGAAAGACGGUUUUGCUGUCACUUAUAGAUGGAUCCGCGCCGCAUUAGCUAGUUGGUAAGGUAACGGCUUACCAAGGCAACGAUGCGUAGCCGACCUGAGAGGGUGAUCGGCCACACUGGAACUGAGACACGGUCCAGACUCCUACGGGAGGCAGCAGUAGGGAAUCUUCCGCAAAGGGCGAAAGCUUGACGGAGCAACGCCGCGUGAGUGAUGAAGGUCUUCGGAUCGUAAAACUCUGUUAUUAGGGAAGAAAAAAUGUGUAAGUAACUAUGCACGUCUUGACGGUAACUAAUCAGAAAGCCACGGCUAACUACGUG